rnacentral:rRNA from 1 species
UACGUAGGUGGCAAGCGUUGUCCGGAAUUACUGGGCGUAAAGCGUGCGCAGGCGGUUCGUUGUGUCGGCGGUGAAAUCCCCGGGCUUAACCUGGGAAUGGCAUUUGGGACUGCAAGGCUCGAGUGCGGCAGAGGAGACUGGAAUUCCUGGUGUAGCAGUGAAAUGCGUAGAUAUCAGGAGGAACACCGAUGGCGAAGGCAGGUCUCUGGGCUGACACUGACGCUCAUGCACGAAAGCGUGGGGAGCAAACAGG